ACUUCAGUUCAAAUUCUGGAUCUUGGAGGCAACAAUUUUCAUGGCCAGAUUCCUCAUAUUGGCACAACGGAAUGCAACUUAAGGAUGCUUAAUCUAAAGUUCAAUAAGUUACAGGGACAAAUACCAAGAUCAUUGGCCAAUUGUGCCAAGCUUGAGUAUUUGGUUUUAUCAAACAAUGAAAUCAAUGACGUUUUCCCAUCAUGGUUAGGAUCACUCCAAGAGCUAAAGAUUCUCAGUCUGGGUUCUAAUCAACUCUAUGGUGUGUUGGGAAAUCAUAAAUCUAAUUUUGACUUCCCAAAGUUGCACAUCAUUGAUCUCUCUCAGAAUAAUUUUUCAGGGCAGCUGCCACAACAAUAUUUUCUCAGCUGGAAUGCAAUGAAGACGGUAGAUGCAAAUCAAUAUAUGGUUAGAGAAAUUACCAUUGAACUUUCAAAAGGGAACUCAGUGAAUUACACUUCUGUAUACGCAAUUUCAUUGAAAAACAAAGGUACAAAUUUGAUAUAUUCCGCGAUCCAACAAUCCUUGGUGGCCAUUGAUCUUUCGUGCAACAAAUUAGAAGGCGAAAUUCCAGACGUCGUUGGGAACUUAAAUGCUCUUCGUUUACUCAACUUUUCCAAUAACAAUCUUAGAGGUGGCAUUCCAUCAUCUUUGGGGAAUCUGACAAUGCUUGAAUCUUUGGAUCUUUCCCAAAACAAUCUGUCAGGAGAAAUUCCUCAACAACUAACUCAACUUAAUUUCCUUGCUGUUUUCAAUGUGUCUCAUAACCACCUUACAGGUCCUAUACCACAUGGGAAGCAAUUUGACACUUUUCUAAGCAAUUCAUAUGAAGCUAACUUGGAACUCUGUGGAAAUCCAAUGCCAAGGAAGUGUACAAGUUCUGAGGCACUGCCACCAUUACCUUCAAAGUCUGAAUCGUAACUACAUCAUUGUCCCGUAAGCUUCAACUGAAAGAAGGCAAAUCUGGAGAUGUACAUGGCGGCUGAUUUCAACAAGCCUGCGCUGAAUUAUAAACCAAAGUGGAAAAAUCUGUAAUGCAUUCACUUUAUGAAUCUACAUGGCAGCUGCUUUUUCAACAAGAGCCAGCAACCUACUAGGAAUUUACAUUUUUCACCCUCAACCCCCACACACCGUACAUAUAGGUAAAAAAAUGAAAACCAUGAAAAAUCAAAGA
rnacentral:misc_RNA from 1 species